GCCCAGCUAGCUCAGUUGGUAGAGCAUGAGACACUUAAUCUCAGCGUCAUGGGUCCAAGACCCAUGUUGGGCA